rnacentral:tRNA from 3 species
UGGUUCAAGUCCCUCUAUCCCCAAGAAAAAGCCCGUUUUACUUCAAUAUUUAGAUUGAUUUCUCCAUUUUUUUUUAUA